GGUAGGUCUGAGUGCAGUGGUGUUUACAACUAAUUGGUCACAACCAGUUACAGAUUCCUUUGUUCCUUCCCCACUCUCACUGUUUCACUUGACCAGCCUUAA
rnacentral:Y_RNA from 1 species